UGCAGGGUGGUGUAGUGGUUAGCACUCUUUCCUGCAGCAAGAAGGUGUUGGGUUUGAAUCCCGCCUCGGGGUCU